rnacentral:rRNA from 1 species
CCAGACUCCUACGGGAGGCAGCAGUGGGGGAUAUUGGACAAUGGGGGAAACCCUGAUCCAGCGACGCCGCGUGAGUGAAGAAGUAUUUCGGUAUGUAAAGCUCUGUCAGCAGGGAAGAAAGAAAUGACGGUACCUGACCAAGAAGCCCCGGCUAACUACGUGCCAGCAGCCGCGGUAAUACGUAGGGGGCAAGCGUUAUCCGGAUUUACUGGGUGUAAAGGGAGCGUAGACGGCUGUGCAAGUCUGAAGUGAAAGCCCGUGGCUCAACCGCGGAACUGCUUUGGAAACUGUAUAGCUUGAGUACUGGAGAGGCAGGCGGAAUUCCUAGUGUAGCGGUGAAAUGCGUAGAUAUUAGGAGGAACACCGGUGGCGAAGGCGGCUUACUGGACUGUAACUGACGUUGAGGCUCGAAAGCGUGGGGAGCAAACAGGAUUAGAUACCCCCGUAU